AUUGAACGCUGGCGGCAGGCCUAACACAUGCAAGUCGAGCGGAUGAUGGGAGCUUGCUCCUGGAUUCAGCGGCGGACGGGUGAGUAAUGCCUAGGAAUCUGCCUGGUAGUGGGGGACAACGUUUCGAAAGGAACGCUAAUACCGCUUACGUCCUACGGGAGAAAGCAGGGGACCUUCGGGACUUGCGCUAACUGAUGAGCCUAGGUCAGAUUAGCUUGUUGGUGAGGUAAUGGCGCACCAAGGCGACGAUCCGUAACUGGUCUGAGAGGAUGAUCAGUCACACUGGAACUGAGACACGGUCCAGACUCCUACGGGAGGCAGCAGUGGGGAAUAUUGGACAAUGGGCGAAAGCCUGAUCCAGCCAUGCCGCGUGUGUGAAGAAGGCCUUCGGAUUGUAAAGCACUUUAAGUUGGGAGGAAGGGUUGUAGAUUAAUACUCUGCAAUUUUGACGUUACCGACAGAAUAAGCACCGGCUAACUCUGUGCCAGCCGCCGCGGUAAGAC
rnacentral:rRNA from 1 species